rnacentral:rRNA from 1 species
AUUGAACGCUGGCGGCAUGCCUUACACAUGCAAGUCGAACGGCAGCACGGGUGCUUGCACCUGGUGGCGAGUGGCGAACGGGUGAGUAAUACAUCGGAACAUGUCCUGUAGUGGGGGAUAGCCCGGCGAAAGCCGGAUUAAUACCGCAUACGAUCUACGGAUAAAAGCGGGGGACCUUCGGGCCUCGCGCUAUAGGGUUGGCCGAUGGCUGAUUAGCUAGUUGGUGGGGUAAAGGCCUACCAAGGCGACGAUCAGCAGCUGGUCUGAGAGGACGACCAGCCACACUGGGACUGAGACACGGCCCAGACUCCUACGGGAGGCAGCAGUGGGGAAUUUUGGACAAUGGGCGAAAGCCUGAUCCAGCAAUGCCACGUGUGUGAAGAAGGCCUUCGGGUUGUAAAGCACUUUUGUCCGGAAAGAAAUCCUUGGCCCUAAUACGGUCGGGGGAUGACGGUACCGGAAGAAUAAGCACCGGCUAACUACGUG